GGGAAUGUGGCUUAGUGGUAAAGUGCUUGCCUAGCAUGCAUGAAGCCCUGGGUUCGAUUCCUUAGUACCA
rnacentral:tRNA from 1 species